rnacentral:misc_RNA from 1 species
GAUGAAGAACGUAGCGAAUUGCGAUAAGUAAUGUGAAUUGCAGAUUUUCAGUGAAUCAUCGAAUCUUUGAACGCACCUUGCGCUCCUUGGUAUUCCGAAGGGUAUGCUCGUUUGAGUGUCAUUGUACUCUCACACUUCUAAUUCCUUUCGGGAUUGGGAGCGGUGGACUUGGGUGUUGCUGCUUUAGUUGUGGCUCACCUCAAAUAAGUUAGUGCAACUCUUGGUUGGACAUAGUACGGCGUGAUAAGUGUCUUCGCCGGCGCCUCUGUAAGGAGGGUGGCCGAUCGGGAGCUCUGUGCUUCAAACCGUCUUCGGACAAUCUUUGACAACUUGACCUCAAAUCGAGUAGGACUACCCGCUGAACUUAAGCAUAUCAAUAAGCGGAGGA